CGAGUUCAACGUAAUGAUGUCUAAACGACUCUCGGCAACGGAUAUCUUGGCUCUCGCAUCGAUGAAGAACGUAGCAAAAUGCGAUACGUGGUGUGAAUUGCAGAAUUCCGCGAACCAUCGAGUUUUUGAACGCAAGUUGCGCCCGAAGCCAUUCGGCCGA
rnacentral:rRNA from 1 species